rnacentral:rRNA from 1 species
UACGUAGGGUGCGAGCGUUAAUCGGAAUUACUGGGCGUAAAGCGUGCGCAGGCGGUUGGUCGUGUCCUGUGUGAAAGCCCCGGGCUUAACCUGGGAAUGGCAUUGGAAACUGGCUCGCUGGAGUGUGGCAGAGGGGGGUGGAAUUCCGCGUGUAGCAGUGAAAUGCGUAGAGAUGCGGAGGAACACCGAUGGCGAAGGCAGCCCCCUGGGCUAACACUGACGCUCAGGCACGAAAGCGUGGGGAGCAAACAGG